rnacentral:rRNA from 1 species
AGCGAACGCUGGCGGCGUGCCUAACACAUGCAAGUCGAACGUGAAAAGGGUAACCUGGGUGCAGUGGCGUAUGGGUGAGUAACGCGUAGGUCAUCUAUCACAUAACCUGGAAUUACCUGUCGAAUCGCGGGCCAAUACUGGAUACAGCGUGGGAACUCGUAAGAGAGUUUUUCGGGUAAGGGAUUUCGCCGGGGCCUUCGUUCUGCGAUGAUCCUGCGUCUGAUUAGCUAGUUGGUAAGGUAACGGCUUACCAAGGCGAUGAUGUGUAGCUGGACUGAGAGGACGGGCAGCCAGACUGGGACGGAAACACGGUCCAGUGGCCUACGGGAGGCAGCAGUAGGGAAACUUGCGCAAUGGACGGAAGUCUGACGAAGAUGGGCCGCGUGAGUGAAGAAGGACUUCGGGUUGGAAAGGUCUGUCGGAUGGGACGAAAAUGUUCAUAGUGGAUAGCUAGGGGGACUGACGGUACCGGCAAAGGAAGCACCGGCUAACUACGUG